UACGUAGGGGGCAAGCGUUGUCCGGAUUUAUUGGGCGUAAAGAGCGUGUAGGCGGCCAUACAGGUCCGUUGUGAAAACUGGAGGCUUAACCUCCAGACGUCGAUGGAAACCGUGUGGCUAGAGUCCGGAAGAGGAGAGUGGAAUUCCUGGUGUAGCGGUGAAAUGCGCAGAUAUCAGGAAGAACACCCGUGGCGAAGGCGGCUCUCUGGGACGGUACCGACGCUGAGACGCGAAAGCGUGGGGAGCGAACAGG
rnacentral:rRNA from 1 species